AAUUCUGAUGAGUGAGCUUGACCCA
rnacentral:piRNA from 1 species